CUCCUUUAGUUCUUAAACAUAAUAAUUGGAUGUCCAUGCAUAUUGUGACAUAUGUCAACCUUGAAUCUUGUUAUGAUGUCUGCACGUUAUCUGUCUGAUA